rnacentral:rRNA from 1 species
CCUACGGGGGGCAGCAGUGGGGAAUAUUGGACAAUGGGGGGAACCCUGAUCCAGCCAUGCCGCGUGUGUGAAGAAGGCCCUCGGGUUGUAAAGCACUUUCAGUGAGGAAGAACGCCUGGUGGUUAAUACCCAUCAGGAAAGACAUCACUCACAGAAGAAGCACCGGCUAACUCCGUGCCAGCAGCCGCGGUAAUACGGAGGGUGCGAGCGUUAAUCGGAAUUACUGGGCGUAAAGCGCGCGUGGGUGGCUUGAUAAGCCGGUUGUGAAAGCCCCGGGCUCAACCUGGGAACGGCAUCCGGAACUGUCAAGCUAGAGUGCAGGAGAGGAAGGUAGAAUUCCCGGUGUAGCGGUGAAAUGCGUAGAGAUCGGGAGGAAUACCAGUGGCGAAGGCGGCCUUCUGGACUGACACUGACACUGAGGUGCGAAAGCGUGGGUAGCAAACAGGAUUAGAUACCCGAGUAGUC